GCGAACGCUGGCGGCAGGCCUAACACAUGCAAGUCGAGCGCCCGUAGCAAUACGGGAGCGGCAGACGGGAGAGUAACACGUGGGAACGUACCCUUCAGUUCGGAACAACCCAGGGAAACUUGGGCUAAUACCGAAUACGUCCGUAAGGAGAAAGAUUUAUCGCUGAAGGAUCGGCCCGCGUCUGAUUAGCUAGUUGGUGAGGUAAUGGCUCACCAAGGCUACGAUCAGUAGCUGGUCUGAGAGGAUGAUCAGCCUCACUGGGACUGAGACACGGCCCAGACUCCUACGGGAGGCAGCAGUGGGGAAUAUUGGACAAUGGGCGCAAGCCUGAUCCAGCCAUGCCGCGUGGAUGAUGAAGGCCUUAGGGUUGUAAAGUCCUUUUAACGGGGAAGAUAAUGACGGUACCCGUAGAAUAAGCCCCGGCUAACUUCGU
rnacentral:rRNA from 1 species